rnacentral:rRNA from 1 species
AGCAGUAGCCACGGUAAUACGGAGGGAGCUAGCGUUGUUCGGAAUUACUGGGCGUAAAGCGCGCGUAGGCGGUUACUCAAGUCAGAGGUGAAAGCCCGGGGCUCAACCCCGGAACUGCCUUUGAAACUAGGUGACUAGAAUCUUGGAGAGGUCAGUGGAAUUCCGAGUGUAGAGGUGAAAUUCGUAGAUAUUCGGAAGAACACCAGUGGCGAAGGCGACUGACUGGACAAGUAUUGACGCUGAGGUGCGAAAGCGUGGGGAGCAAACAGGAUUAGAUACCCCCGUAGUCCCUGUCUCUUAUAC